rnacentral:rRNA from 1 species
GUCGAACGAAACUUCUUUAUCACCGAGUGCUUGCACUCACCGAUAAAGAGCUGUGUGGCGAACGGGUGAGUAACACGUGGGCAACCUGCCCAAAAGAGGGGGAUAACACUUGGAAACAGGUGCUAAUACCGCAUAACCAUAGUUACCGCAUGGUAACUAUGUAAAAGGUGGCUAUGCUACCGCUUUUGGAUGGGCCCGCGGCGCAUUAGCUAGUUGGUGGGGUAAAGGCUUACCAAGGCAAUGAUGCGUAGCCGAACUGAGAGGUUGAUCGGCCACAUUGGGACUGAGACACGGCCCAAACUCCUACGGGAGGCAGCAGUAGGGAAUCUUCCACAAUGGGCGAAAGCCUGAUGGAGCAACGCCGCGUGGGUGAAGAAGGUCUUCGGAUCGUAAAACCCUGUUGUUAGAGAAGAAAGUGCGUGAGAGUAACUGUUCACGUUUCGACGGUAUCUAACCAGAAAGCCACGGCUAACUACGUGCCAGCAGCCGCGGUAAUACGUAGGUGGCAAGCGUUAUCCGGAUUUAUUGGGCGUAAAGGGAACGCAGGCGGUCUUUUAAGUCUGAUGUGAAAGCCUUCGGCUUAACCGGAGUAGUGCAUUGGAAACUGGGAGACUUGAGUGCAGAAGAGGAGAGUGGAACUCCAUGUGUAGCGGUGAAAUGCGUAGAUAUAUGGAAGAACACCAGUGGCGAAAGCGGCUCUCUGGUCUGUAACUGACGCUGAGGUUCGAAAGCGUGNGUAGCAAACAGGAU